UAUGUAGCCCCCCCCUUCAGUACGAAAGGACAAAGGGGCGAGAGACCAAUGCCACAAGCACGUCUCAAACCACUAACUGAACAAAACUAAAGUUAAACAGCUACCACCACGACCAAAGAUCGUGAUCU
rnacentral:rRNA from 1 species